GACGAACCGUGCAAACGUUAUUCGGAAUCACCGGGCUUAAAGGGCGCGUAGGCGGGCCGCCAGGUCCGGGGUGAAAGCCUCCAGCUCAACUGGAGAAGUGCCUUGGAUACCGGCGGCCUCGAGGGAGGUAGGGGCGUGCGGAACUUCGGGUGGAGCGGUGAAAUGCGUAGAUAUCCGAAGGAACACCGGUGGCGAAGGCGGCUUCCUGGACCGACACUGACGCUGAGGCGCGAAAGCUAGGGGAGCAAACGGG
rnacentral:rRNA from 1 species